rfam:Operophtera brumata OBRT01_Sc20069, whole genome shotgun sequence.
AAAAAGGCUCUUUUCAGGGCCACCAUACAUCAACCAGAGUCAUUAA